AGACGUCUACAUUAGACUACCCCCGUAGUCCCAGCCGUAAACUAUGCGCGUUAGGUGUAUCGGGUGACCACGAGUCACCGAGGUGCCGAAGGGAAACCGUGAAACGUGCCGCCGUGGGAAGUACGGUCGCAAGGCUAGAAACUUAAAGGAAUUGGCGGGGGAGCACCACAACGGGUGGAGCCUGCGGUUUAAUUGGACUCAACGCCGGGAAGCUCACCGGAUAAGACAGCGGAAUGAUUGCCGGGCUGAAGACUCUGCAUGACUAGCUG
rnacentral:rRNA from 1 species